rnacentral:rRNA from 1 species
UACAGAGGGGGGCAAGCGUUAUUCGGAAUUAUUGGGCGUAAAGGGCGCGUAGGCGGCUUGGCAAGUGGAAGGUGAAAUCCCUCGGCUUAACCGAGGAACUGCCCUCCAAACUGCUUCGCUUGAGACCGGGAGAGGUGAGUGGAAUUCCCAGUGUAGCGGUGAAAAUGCGUAGAUAUUGGGAGGAACACCAGUGGCGAAGGCGGCUCACUGGACCGGUACUGACGCUGAUGCGCGAAAGCGUGGGGAGCAAACGGGG